GCCCGGCUAGCUCAAUCGGUAGAGCGUGAGACUCUUAAAGAGGAGAAUUUCACUCAUCUCAAGGUUGUGGGUUCGACCCCCACGUCGGGCU